AGAAGCUAUGGCAAAUAAUCGAAACUAUCUCUUUGCGAAUGAUGGAAAAAAAAUCAAUUUUCUCAUCAAAGAAAUCUUAAAACCGAUCAGCCCAACCAAAAUUCCCCCGUCGGCUCGGCUCUUCUCGACUCGUUUCGCGCCGCCGCCGCCUCAAUCUCGAAGGCUCCGAAAUCCUAGGGUUUCCGCGUCGUCUCCAUGGGCUCCAAGAAGCGGUCGCCCCAGCAUCCCUCCGCUGCUGCCGGCACCCCCGCCGCCGGCGAGGUAUCCGGCGAUGUCGGCGCCCCGCCGGCGGGGAAGGGGCCGGCGGCAGCGGCGGCGGUGCCUGUUGGGGUGGUGCUGAAGCCACCGGAUGUGGCGCCGUUCCUGAUCAAGGUCUACGACAUGGUAUACGACCCAGCGACCGACGCGGUCAUCUCCUGGAGCGCCGGCGGCGGCAGCUUCGUGAUCUGGGACCCGCACGCCUUUGAGCGCGACCUGCUGCCUCGGCACUUUAAGCACAACCACUUCACCAGCUUCAUACGCCAGCUCAACACCUACGGAUUUCAUAAAGUUGAUCCUGAUAGAUGGGAGUGGGCCAAUGAAGGAUUUAUUAAGGGCCAAAAACAUCUUCUGAAGACCAUCAAGAGAAAGAAGAAAUCCUCUCAGGAUGCACCUAGUGAUCUGCAGCAGGCACCUGUCAAAACUGCACCUGGCACUGAAAACAUCGAAAUUGGAAAAUAUGGAAGCCUUGAAAAGGAGGUUGAAACCCUUAAGAGGGACAAAGCUCUUCUUAUGCAGCAGCUUGUUGAUCUCAGGCAGUACCAGCAAUCAUCUAGCCUUGAAGUGCAGAAUUUAAUUCAACGCCUUUGUGUGAUGGAACAGAACCAGCAGCAGAUGAUGGCACUUUUGGCAAUAGUUGUCCAGAAUCCAAGUUUCCUCAAUCAGCUGGUGCAGCAGCAGCGCAGGAGUAACUGGUGGAAUGAUGAUGGGAACAGGAAAAGGAGGUUCCAUGCUCUGGAACAGGGUCCUGUAGCUGAUCAGGAGACUUCUGAUGGAGGCGCACAAAUUAUUCAGUAUCGUCCUGUUCCUGAAACCUCCAAUCAAGCAAUACCAGUAAAUGGAGCUUUUUGUUCAACACCUGCACAGCCAGUUUCAAGCCCUGGACUUGCCAUGCCCGUGGAUAUAGAGACGACUUCAAGCAAUGUUGAUACUCUCAGUUCGACUGGGGACCUUUUUACUGACACAUCUGCUCUACCUGAAUUGGAUGACAUGAUGCUAUUUGUUGAUGACCUAGAAUACACACUUCAACAGUCAGAGCAGGACUGUCAGAUGGAAGCACAACAGAACUGUCAAGUGGACCCUCCUUUAACUAUUCAAGAUUAUGGUUUAGAGCAGGACUGUCAGAUGGAUGCACAACAGAACUGCAAAAAUCCUCAAUAUGGUAUUCAGUAAUUGCCUUGAUGUCAUAACCGAAGCGUAACUGGUGUGGUCCAGGAGCACAUUGUCCAGUAACAUGAGUUUCUGCAGCUUUGUGAUGACCGGAGUCUUGAGACUGGCGAGGUUAGGCAGGUGGGGUACCAUUGCAACCUGAAGACGUUGGACGUGUUCAGAAUUCAGUAUACUACUAAUACGCAGAAGGACAGAAACACAUGUUGACUAUACAGGAUUUCUUUUUUCCUUGUUCACACGUUCAAGGCAGUGGACAGGGUUUUCCCCCAACUCUCUUUGUCCUAGCUACAUUGAUAACGGAAGUUAGCAUCGAUCAUUUGUUGUGUAUACCGUUGUAUUGGAUCAUCAUGAGCAGUUUUGUACAUUUUUGUCGCGUACUAA